rnacentral:lncRNA from 1 species
GGAACAGAAGAGUAGUAAUAUAUCAGAUUUUACCAUAAGCCUGGUGGGUCUUCCAAGUGUUCAUUCAAAUAUUUAUAAAGGGGCACCGUAUUUCAAUAAAAGCAUCUGCAUCGGGUGUGUUGUUCAAGGCAUGCACCCUUUUUGUCAAUUUUUCAUCUACGGCAAUAAUCUAUACAUUCUGUUACCAUCAUGUGAUAUGUAGGUGUUCAAGUCCUUUCCAGUUUCGUGCUAUGAGUAACUGUGCUGCCACCAGGAGAAAAAUGAUGAGUUGCUUAUGAAGUAAAUUGAACUGAUCUUCUUUAAAUAUCUUUAAUAAAUCCAUGCUUGGAUUGCGUUGUACAUGCUGAUUUGUAAUCACUUAUUUCCACAAAUAGUCUUUCCCGUAAUGUCUGCACAAGUUCACAUGACUGCCACCUAUGGAAAGGGCUUACUUUCUCUUCAGCACAUUGGUAGGUGUUUCAUCUAUGUAACUGUAUCUUAAAGGUGUAAAUGUCAUGUAUAAAUUAACUUAAAAUAAUUCUCCCUUUUGCGAAUUAACACUGAUCUUAAAGGGUUUUUGGCCCAUAAAUUGUUCCAGUCCGCCUCUUUGGUGCUGGCACCUAGGACUGUUUCUCAUAAUUGUUUGGUUGCUGAGCAUCAUCCUUUUUUUUUUAGAAUGCUCAGUCGUAUUCAAAAUAAAAUUUUCAAAGGGUGUCAAUGCACAAAGGCCAUGGAACUUAACUGCUGAGCUUGAAAUAAGAUGAGCAACUAGAAAGACAAGUAGCUAUAUCACAUUUCAUCCUCCGAUCAUUUCCAUAAUUUGGUUUUGCUGUGAAGUUAUUUUCAGUAAAAAAAAAUCAUUUAGAUUUCUUACAGGUGUGUAGAAGGAAGGGUGCAAUGUGAGUCAUUCUUGUCUGAAAAUCAAACCUCGGCCCUCUUACUUGGAAGCUCUUUCUCUGUCCAUAGCUGUACAAAGAAUAACCUUUUCAAGAAAGGGAGAGACAAUAGCAUUCUACACAGUGGCAGAGCUUCAUGCUCCGGCACCGGGGGCCGGAGAGCAAGCGGGGGCAUGGCUGGCGCACGUCUUGGGGGCGUGGUGCCCAGCGCAGGCAGGGAGGCAGCCACAAUGGCACCCCACCGGAAUCGCACUGCCAGCGGCGGUACGCUCCUCCGCCAGUGAUUCUGCACAUGUGUAAAGGCAUACUUUCCUAAGUAAGUGCUUCACAAGCCCUAUUGUGAUGAAGACAGCAAGGUUAAACACUGUAACCCUACCAAGUCAAAAUGUUACCAGCUGCCACUGCCUGCAACCCCCAUCCCACAAUGUUUGGGAGAGGGGGGCCAACAUUCCAGAGCACCCUUCCUCUGACAAAAGCAUCCUAUGAGUUUUGUUCACAGGAAUUCUGAACCCAGCCCUAUAGAAAUAACAGUAGUAAAUCGGUCUCUAAGAAUACAGGAAUACCUGUAUGAGUGUUUUUGUAUGCAAUGUUUGGGAGGAAGUAAGAUGGCAAAUAACAAACAACAAACUAAAUAUUGAUGUAUGUAAUUUUUAUUUCUUAAUUAUAUUUAGUAGUAGUAUGGCUGUAUUGUUUUUUGUAACAUAAAAUCAUUCAAUAAUUAAAAAAAAAAAGAAUACAGGAAUACCUGCAAUAACCAGCAGAGGGUGUGGUUAGGCCUCCAUAGAUUUCACUGCUUAUGUACCAGCUUUGACUAUGCAUUCAGGAUUUACGCUGCUUCAAUUUUCAGGAUUAACUGCUUUUUUUUUUUUUACCUUAAUCUCUUCUUUCAACCUCUUCCACACAUUUCUGUUCUUUAUCAAAGUCUUCCCUCAACAACUCUAACCUCACCUCUCUGAUCUCUCCUAAAUUAAUUCUCCAUAUUCCACUGUUCCUCUUCACUAAUCCAUGAAAUCUCUGCCCUUCCCAUGCCAGUCUUUUCAGUCAGCCCUCUGGACCAGAACAGUAUGUAUUAAUGAGCUGUGUUGAUUUGUCCCUGUUGGUGAUAAACAUUUAGUAAUAGUAAUAUUGCCAAACGCGCAAAAUGCUGUAUUACUGUCGAAAUACUAAAGAUAUGUUAAAUGCC